UCGACUAAGCCAUGCGAGUUGAAUGUUCUUCGUGAACAUGGCGGACUGCUCAGUAACACGUGGACAACCUACCCUUGGGUCCGGCAUAAUCCUGGGAAACUGGGGAUAAUUCCGGAUAGGUCACCGAUGCUGGAAUGCUCGGUGGCCCAAAGCUCCGGCGCCCAAGGAUGGGUCUGCGGCCUAUCAGGGUUGUAGUGGGUGUAAUGUACCUACUAGCCUACGACGGGUACGGGUUGUGAGAGCAAGAGCCCGGAGAUGGAUUCUGAGACACGAAUCCAGGCCCUACGGGGUGCAGCAGGCGCGAAAACUUUACAAUGCGGGAAACCGUGAUAAGGGAAUCUCGAGUGCCAGCAUAUAAUGUUGGCUGUCCAGAUGCCUAAAAAGCAUCUGUUAGCAAGGGCCGGGCAAGACCGGUGCCAGCCGCCGCGGUAACACCGGCGGCCCGAGUGGUAACCGCUAUUAUUGGGUCUAAAGGGUCUGUAGCCGGCCAGGUAAGUCCCUUGGGAAAUCUGGCAGCUUAACUGUCAGGCUGCUAGGGGAUACUGUCUGGCUUGGGACCGGGAGAGGUGAGAGGUACCUUGGGGGUAGGGGUGAAAUCUUGUGAUCCUCGGGGGACCACCAGUGGCGAAGGCGUCUCACCAGAACGGGUCCGACGGUAAGGGACGAAAG
rnacentral:rRNA from 1 species